GAAUAUUAUUAUAUGUAACCUCUUAAUACAUAGCUAUAUAUAUUCUAUUAUUUGCGUUUAUUAUAAGAUAUAUGUAUUAACCUACGUAUCAUUAGUAGAUAGUCUAUUGUGUGAAUGAGUAGGCGUAGGCCAAUGGUAUCUAGGCAUGCGCACUAACGGCGUGUCUAUUGGUCGGGAGGUCAUAACACUGGGGGUAGGUGUGUCGGGUAUUCUGUGGAUCACCUAUAGGGGAUAUAUAUCGAACCAGUGCAGAAUGAAGAUAACCCUGAUCCUCCAAACAUCCUGAUCCUCCAAACACCCUGAUCCUCCAAACGUCUGAGCUCUAGGCUAAGCUAGUAGACUCGUCAUAGCGGCUGCAGAAUAAAGGAGAAGAAAGAAAAACAGCUACUACAACCUGCGCAACUAUGCCUACUGACUUGAUUUCUGACGUCGGCUAUGAGAGCUUGAAAAGGCCUCAGGGUCCACGCGCACCAGGUGCUGAUAUUCGGUUGAAUAAUCGAAGAAAGAUACUCGGUGAUCGGACCAAUGUGGGGGCCAGCAGUAGUUAUGUACCUAUCGUGGAUGGUGUGAAACAGUGGACCCCUGGAUCAAACCGUCUAACCAAGAAAAAUCUCAAAAGACCCAAUCUAGGACCGGCUCUACCU